GGCUUAAUUUGACUCAACGCGGGAAAUCUUACCGGGUCCGGACACACUGAGGAUUGACAGGCAAUAUUAGCACUUAGCUUCGGCGACGUGUUAUGUUAAAUAUGCUAGUCCUUUCAUGAUUAUGUGAUAGGUGGUGCAUGGCCGUUCUUAGUUCGUGGAGUGAUCUGUCUGCUUAAUUGCGUUUCACCAAGGGCCUAUAAUUUUACGUGUGUUGCGGCACUUUGACCCCUCUUUUUUUAAAGAGCGCGUGUCUUGGUUUGCUUAGCUCGCACAAUUAGGUCCUGAAAGCAACGAACGUGACCGCAACCUCUUGUUGCCUUUAUACCAAACGUGCAUAUGCAAUUUUUUAAUUGCUUUGCGCGCAAAAAGGCUUUUUAAACUAGAGGGACCGCUGUUACUUUCUUAAACCAGAGGAAGGUUGCGGCAAUAACAGGUCUGUGAUGC
rnacentral:rRNA from 1 species